rnacentral:rRNA from 1 species
UACAUGUGGGGCAAGCGUUGUUCGGAAUUACUGGGCAUAAAGGGUGCGUAGGCGGCCUACUAAGUCGGACGUGAAAUCCCUCGGCUCAACCGAGGAACUGCGUCCGAUACUGGCGAGGCUUGAAUUCGGGAGAGGGAUGUGGAAUUCCAGGUGUAGCGGUGAAAUGCGUAGAUAUCUGGAGGAACACCGGUGGCGAAGGCGGCAUCCUGGACCGACACUGACGCUGAGGCGCGAAAGCCAGGGGAGCAAACGGG